ACAUCAGUAGGUGUAAUCCUUACCUGUUGCCCUUCGGGGCAAUAGAAAAGGACGAAUGAUGAAUGGUGUGUAUGAUAACCGUGAGUUAAAAAUCGCGGGCACAGAGGAACAACACCCUCUGUGUACCACCUUCUGAC